GGAGGGACUGUGGCCCAGUGGAAGAACAUCUGCUUGGUAUGCAGAAGGUCCCCUGUUCAAUUCUUGGCAUCUCCA
rnacentral:tRNA from 1 species